UUCACCUUAUAUACUCAUUUUAAGUGCAAUUGCUAUAAGAUUUUUGUCAUCGUAGAUGUUUGUGUCUUUUACAUACUGCGGAAUCUUUCACAAAUUUCAAUUACCAGACUUUACUCUUCAGUCUGGAUGUUGAUAUAAUCAGUGAAAACACUACACAGCUACACACAGGCUUCUGCUGUCUUGCAAAACUGAGAUGAAGUCAGUGCCACAUCACGUAAAUUAUUUUUAUAUAUUUUUUUUAAAAAUAUUUUUUAUAUUUAUCUAUAUUUUUAUAUGUAUUCUCUACAUUGGUAUGUUCAGAAAAAUUGUUGCAGGAAUUUUUUUUACAGACAUUUGGCACAUGCAGGGACAGAAGCAGGUGGCACCAAAGCUUUGUAGACGUAGAUGAGUGGAACAAUUUACUCUGAUUUUUAAAAAAUUAUUAUAAAACUGGAGGAUGGUGAAACUAAGUGAUACAGUUUUAAAUGCAAACACUUGUCACACCAAAUAAUGGUCUUUAUUUAUCAAUUGUUCAGUAAAUAUGUACAUAAAUAUUUUACUAGGCCAACCUGAAAGCCUGUAUAAGUUUUGUUAAAUUUUCUGUCUAUUCAAAAUGACGUCUAAACAGUCUCGGAGCACUUCCUAAACGCAGCAUGUGCUCCUUUCAUAGGGUACCAUUUCUUUUGUCCUAAUUAAAUUGAUUGAAUUAUGGAUUUAUUUUGGAUUGCCAUGUCUUAGAUCAUAACUAAGCGUUUUGGCACAGCAGCGUAAUCCAUAUAUUUAUAAAAACCCAAGUAUUGGAACAUUUCUCCAAACUAACCGAAUAUACCAGUUUACUUAUACCAGUUUAAUCUAAAGACUUGUAAGACUGUGUAACUAAACCGUGUGAUGUUUUUGGACAUGUUUCUGCAGGGUAAGUGAGGAAGUGUGGCAGAUUUCCACAUCAAUUGUAAGAUGUUUAGCAGAAAAGACGGAGACUAGGACCUGUGUGGAGGCGGGCAGGUAACAUUGUAGCUCAGAGCAGAUACAAUAACUUCUGAUGUGCCACUCUUAUUUCAAAAGAGCCAGUCUCUUUGUUAGAGAGCGAGAGUGCACUGCAAAUGCAGGAUGUCUGUGGACUUUUGUGCAGCCAGUGAAAGGAUUAAGAAUUUGAAAAGGAGUUGGGGAAAUACCAAAGACUUGUAGCUAAUCACUUCCCCUGUUAAUGCCUGUUCUUGAUUAAAAGAAGGAGAAAGACUAUAGAGGGAUAUGGUAGGAUUUGAGAGUUAGAGUCUGUUCGGAGUGGAUUGUGUUAGUGCUAGCUCUAAUAAAGUUCAGUCUCCUGAGUUGUCACUUCUGUAAUAUUUGACUCAUGGCUGUGUGUAAUAACAUUAAAUCCUCUGAAUGCAUAUUCACUUCCUCCGAAGUUUCCCAAAAAACAUGUACAGAAUUUUAGUCAGAUGUUCAAGGAAAGUCCCAGUUCUCAAAAUACACAUGACCUCUGCAUGAAAGGACAGCAUAAGUAAGUCUUGCUUUAUCUGUCGCUGUUUACCUGCUGAAAUGCUUACAUUCACACUCAUUCCAGUGUCUCGCAGCUGAUUCACAUUAUGUCACCACCACUGCAGGCUAAUGGACUUCAUAGGGGGAAAAAAAACUUUCUUUGUUCAGCUCCUUAGUCACUGCAGACCCCCAUCCUCCCUUCCCCUCCUCCACCUACUCUUUUCUUCCCUUUUCUCCCCCUCUUGUCCCAUUUGGCAUCUCCAUGGCAAUAGGACAUUUGUAUAGUGAUGGACAGUGUCCUGUCCCUCCUUUUGCCUCAUCUUCGCUUUCUCCUGCUUCUGCUCAAACCAUCCUGGAGCUCGCGACCUUUUGUGUGUCCUUCUCCAAUUCUAAGUGAACCAACAGGCUCGCUGUUAGUGAGAGCGUAAGAUCGGCAGGGUCUGACAGAGGGCAGGGGGGGAGUAGUGACCUAUGACCCUGCUGCGUUACCUGCUGGGUAUGACCCAUGUGUCUCCAGCCCUCGGAGGAGCUUGACUGAAUCACAAGUUGUGUUUUUAAUGGAUCCCAGCUGGAUCUAAGGAGGAGAAGCUGAUCUAUCUGUGAACCAAUUACAGCAGAGAACACAGAGAACACUUUGUUCUUCCAGCUAUUAUUUCACAUCACCUCAUCUCAACCAUGCAGAAAGUGUAGAGAUCAAGGCUUAGAGCCAACUGGACUCUCUUUACUUACUUACAGGAGUUUGUACACAACCUCUAGGUUUAAUUAUCAUCUUAUGCCUCAAGAAUGCUUACUGUACAUUUUUUCCAAAAAAAAAAAAAAAAAAAAAUUCAUUUUCAGUAAACCUGCUUUCUUCUACCAGUGUGUCAAAAGCAAGAGUGAUAGAGCGAGUCCAGAGUUUCCAGCAGCACUGAAGAUAAAACUGACACUUGUACAAAUAGGAUAUGGUCUAAGAAAGAAACAAAACCUCUCGUAUAGGUAUUCGAUUUAUGUCAGAGUAAUGUGUAACGUGCAGUGAAGGUUGAUCCUGGACCAAAAUUUGGUUCUGAUCUAAAUAAUUAAGGUUUAAAAUAUUUCAGGAUUGUGCUCUAACAGAUAAAUAAUCCAGGUGGUGGUGGUGAUGGGAAGCUGUGAAGCAGGAAGUUUUCAGGUCACAGUUAUUCCUCUUAUUUGCAAGCAGUUUUUCCCAGAAUGACUACAGGGUUUCAUUUAUUACCAUGUGGUGUUUUUAUCAGUUUAGAGUUACAUUUCAUGUUACAGAAAUUCCACAAGACAAGUUAAUUCUUGUGAUCAUUAAUGCUCUAGCAAAAGAAACCCAGUCUUCCUUCACGACCUUCUCCUAGUUCUCUCUUUCUGAAUGUCAUGAGAACGAUAAAGGAGCUUGUCAUGUUCCCAUGGUGGAAAACAGACUGUUGCACAAUUGCUGACACUGAAGUCCCCUUGCCUAUAUGCUGAAUAAACAUCUAUCAUGUGUAUGUUAAUUUUUUUUUAUAAAUAAUUAAUACAUUUUACAUUUAUUUUUAGUGUUAGAUUAUACCUCAAGUCCUAUAGAAUCGCUUGUUAUUAUAGGAAUGAUAAGAAAUUAGAAUGAGAACAUUACUAUAAACUUUAAUAAAAACCUAAAUCAUUUGAAUUAAAGAAAAUUCUAGGAAAAAUAAUUAACGUCUUCUGACCAAACAGAUUGGAGGAUUCCACAGCAACUGUUAUGUGUAUGCCAUGGCAGUGUUUUAGUUUCAGCUGAGUUUCUGUUUCUCAGGAGUUGUCUGCUGUUUCUGAAGUUUCACAGAUUGUUCUGCAGUUACAUGAUACCUCACCUCUGAAAAAUUAUUUUAUAUGCAGCAGUACAGUAUCUUAGCAGCUGUGAGAUUUGCUCCCUUGAUAAGAUGCUUUUAAAGUAUAAAAAGUGCUUGUAGACCAUAGGCAGACUGAGAGAAAUUGACAUUACUGCAGAUAGGAAGCAGUGUAGAGAAAUGGAAAGCAAAGUCAGCAGUAGCACAUAAACAUGUCCAUAUGUGCCAGCCGUAGCUCCUCUACCUCCACUCUUGCUGAGGGGCAACUGGAGGUUUCUGAUGAACUGUUGCCCUGAUAGUUCACCCAGCCCCCACCUGCUUCUUUCCCCUCAGGAGUCACAAAUCAGAGCAAUAUCCAGACUGUCGAGUCUCCUUGAGGAGGAAUAAACAACAUGAUGAUAAGGCUGUGUAACCUGGACCUGGUUUGGAGUCAGAAGUCAUCUGCAGGCUAGGCUGUUGAAGUGACGUGGUGGUUCUCCAGUGUUCUCCUGCUUUCCAACUACAUGUGGUGGACUGGUGAUGCUGGAAUGUGUGUGUGUGUGUAUAACCCUAAAAGAUUCAAAAGAGUUGCCCUGCAGUUCAAACCCACCCUUUAUGAGAGAGUCUGCAGGAGGAAAGCUGUGCUGGCUUUGUUCAGCAGUGAAAAAAAACAACAAAAAACAACAAUGCUGGAGCUCAGGCAGGCACUGGAAGCCAGAUCUCCUGCACUGACCCCAUAUCUCAUUAGAGGAGAUUCUGAAGUUUAUUAAGAGUGGACGGCCCUGGUGGACAUGAAGGAGAGCUUGGAGAGAGCUCUACAAGUUGGGGGGUUCCGUGUGUGUGUGUGUGUGUGUGUGUGUGUGUGUGUUGGAUGGUGGUGGGGGUAGUUCUCCAUUCCUUUACAGCAAGCAGAUGUUCUGCUAGGACCAAGCAGCUCCAGGCACUAAGUGGGGCAUUAAAUGUUGCAGUUCUCAAAUACACCCUCAGUGAGACUCCACACAUGAGAUGAGGAACGUGGAGGUUUAUUCCUGCUAUUCUACUGCACCCACCCCCACCGACCCCCCUACACCCAACCUACCCCCACUUACCCAAUAUAAGUAUGUAUCCAUGUUUCUGAAUAGCCAUUAAAGACCCAGCUAUAAAGGGGGCCAGCAAAGAGUGGGCUUUGAAAGGAAAUCUGUACGAUUCAGGAGAAGGUUGGACCUUCAGUAUGGAGCCUGACAUCAGCACACAGUCUGCUGCCCUAAUAAACUUCCUGUGGGGCUUUAAAUGUAAAAAAAAUAAAUAAAAAAAUUCCCCCUGGUUGAAUUCACAGGUCUUCCAGCUAUAUUAGGCAAAGUCAGUCUAGUCUUUUCAGGGUUUAGUCUCAGCUAGGAUACAUACAGCAUUUGAGGCACUUAAUUAAAAGGUUUUCAUCUCAGAUUCAGCUGCAGUCUUAUUUAAUGAUUAAAGUUGUGUGGAAUGAAAUGCAUUACUGCUUCAUACCACAACAUUGUCGAAUUCUUGACUGAUUGAAACUCUUGCUGGACUGGCAGAAGUUUCGGAGGUAAAUCAAACCACCAGUUUAUGUUAAAGUGCCCUUUCUAAUAGCUACUUUUUCACAGGGACUGGUAUGGCAGAUGUGCCACAUAAUCUACAGAUAAUAAUAAACCGAUUAAAAAGCCUGUAAAGCUCAGCGAUUUUUCCACCACAGGAAAAUCUUCAGGGCAGACCAGUUUUUUUUUAUGUUUGGCACAAACCUCUUGCUAACAUCACAAGCCACAAUUCUUUGUCUUAUUAACUUCCAGAGAACGAGAUUAAAAGCGAAGGCCAUGGCUGUUUAUAACUGCUAUAAUGUAAGCAAUAGCAGGAAUUAACUCGUGUUCUUCCACAACAUUAGAUAAGUAACUGUAAAUAAUUAAAAAGCUCAUUCAUCAUUAAAAGAAUGUAUAUAAUUAUGAGUAAAUCUAUUAUUAAAUUAAAAAUCCUCAGCUAAUUGCUGUGGUGCAAGUCAUGAACACAGUUAAAGAAUGAUUUGUUUACUUUAUAAAAGGUGAGGGUGCCCUGAAGCUGUUAUUUGAUUUUAUAGUUUAUUUCCAUCUUUACUCAGAGUUUCCAUUUUAUUAAUUUUGUUUAAUUCUGUCCACACAAACACUCGCUGUGUGACUUUCCUGUCUUCAGUGUUGCCUUGAGAUCAUUGUGUCUCAUUGUUCUGAAGUCCCUGUGUAAAGCUGUGCCAGGACAAUGUGGGUAACAUGUGUUGAGUUUAUUUAUCCUGGUUUUAGUGACAGAUUCUCCACAGCAUUGCAGAAGGAUACUAGAAGGUGUGCGCUGCACCUACAUGAUUGUUUUGUGAGAACUCGCCCUGGUCUUUGGAUGCCUUGUUUCCUUUAAGGUAACUAGACACCUGUUGCCCCUAGGACCUGGAUUGCUGGCCCCUAUCUCCUAAACACACGCUCUCAAUCUUCGAACACAAACACACACACUUAGGCACUUAACCUCAGGCAAAGGCAUAACAAUGUGGAAGGUUUACCUUUCAGCUUGUCAUGAGUUCAGAUCGUUUUGACUUGUCUAAGUGCGGCUGCAUGGUCUGCUCCUAGCUGUGUCAGGACCUGUACGAUUGAUGCUUCUGCUCCACACCAGAAGGUUAAACAGAAAAUAUCACUGCCCUCUCAGAGAAGGUUGGUGCUGAGGGUGACACAGUGCCUCCUUGUGGAACACACUAACAAUGUUUAAUUAUUCUAGUAAAUUAAAUACUCUGUAAUGAAGUAACAUGGUGGCUACAACUGCCUUAAAGAAUGCUGUGUGUAAAUGAUAAAUCUAUACAUUUAUUAGGGCUUAAAAUCAACAGUUAAAAUUCCAUAAGUUCAGUUCAGAUGCAGUGGCAAUAAAUGCUGUGUUCAUGACACCUCAUAAGUGCUACAUUAACGGAUUAUAAUGACAACACAAAAAACACAAAAAACAACACAGACACUUCAACUGAAGUUUUGAGCUUUAAAUAAAAGGUAACACAUCAUUUUAACACGACUGAGCUAAAAAAAUGUUUAAACUGUGAAAUACAUCCAUAAGGCCAUGAUCACUUUUAUUUUCAUUUAUUUGAUUAAGAUCAGUGAGGUUUUUUAAAAAAGGUAAUAAAAGUAACACUUAUUUAAUGUUUUACUGUCCAAAUGUUUUACUGUAAAAGUAGAAGCAUGAAGAAAAGGGAAAAGAGAACACGUGUGUUGUAUGUAAACCGGAAGCUGUGUCUAAAUCUGGAGCUCUGAUUAUUCCAUAAACAUCAUCUCUGUGCUCUUUCAGUAACUAACCAUAAUUCAGGACCUUGUUUGAUUUACUGCCAGAAAGUGGGUUAAAUAUGAUGAAGGCCAUAUUAUUCUGGCUGGUAUUUUAUUCUUGACUGCAUGUGAAUGUACUGCAUGUAUUCCAGAUAAUAGCGGAUUUCCUUUUAGUAAAUAAAAAACUAAUACAAUAAAAA